CGGAGGAGGCCGCCGAAUGAUGCGGAGCAUCAUUUUGCAUGCGGCCGACGAACUGCCGCCGAGGCUAAGCCGAGGGGGCGACACCAUCG
rnacentral:sRNA from 1 species